AUGGGGGAUGUGUGCCCCCCCCCCCAGCUGAGCAGACACCACCAGCCUGGAGCAGUGCCCUCACUUCCUCCAACACAGCUGCAGUGUUGGGUGUUUGGCGAUGGAACCCAGCUGACUGUACUAGGUCAGCCCAAGUCCUAGCCCUCAGUUACCCUCUUCCCACCCUCCUCUGAGGAGCGCAGCACCAACAAGGCCACCCUGGUAUGCCUCACCAGUGACUUCUACCCCAGCGGCUUGAUGGUGCCUGGAAGGCAGAAAGCACCCCCAUCACCCAGGGCGUGGAGACCACCAAGCCCUCCAAACAGAGCAACAACAAGUACGCGGCCAGCAGCUACCUGAACCUGUCACCAGACCAGUGGAAAUCUCGUAGCAGCUACACCUGCCAGGUCACACAUGAGGGGAGCAACGUGGAGAAAACAGUGGUCCCCACAGAGUUCUCUUAGGUCAUGGUACCCCCUACCCACUCAAAGGGCUUAGAGCCACAGGACCUCCAGGAAGGAUUCCCCUUGCACCAGAAUCAUCCCAGCCCUUCUCCCAGCACCCAGUCAAUGCUCAAUAAAAUGUC